rnacentral:tRNA from 1 species
GGAGAGAGUGGCGGAAUGGGUAGACGCUAUAAUAGAGUUAAGGCAAAACUGGUGGUAAACCGUUAAAUGAUUACUCAGUCGCGUCCAGUUAGCUAUGCAGGGUUCGAGUCCCUGCCUCUCUCCCA